rnacentral:rRNA from 1 species
GAUGAACGCUGGCGGCGUGCCUAAUACAUGCAAGUCGAGCGAACGGACGAGAAGCUUGCUUCUCUGAUGUUAGCGGCGGACGGGUGAGUAACACGUGGAUAACCUACCUAUAAGACUGGGAUAACUUCGGGAAACCGUAGCUAAUACCGGAUAAUAUUUUGAACCGCAUGGUUCAAAAGUGAAAGACGGUCUUGCUGUCACUUAUAGAUGGAUCCGCGCUGCAUUAGCUAGUUGGUAAGGUAACGGCUUACCAAGGCAACGAUGCAUAGCCGACCUGAGAGGGUGUUCGGCCACACUGGAACUGAGAAACGGUCCAGACUCCUACGGGAAGCAGCAGUAGGGAAUCUUCCGCAAUGAGCGAAAGCCUGACGGAGCAACACCGCGUGAGUGAUGAAGGUCUUCGGAUCGUAAAACUCUGUUAUUAGGGAAGAACAUAUGUGUAAGUAACUGUGCACAUCUUGACGGUACCUAAUCAGAAAGCCACGGCUAACUACGUG